rnacentral:lncRNA from 1 species
AAAGAUAUGAAGCGUCAGAAGAUGGGCAGAAAUGAGCUUCAACAUCAAGGCUGGAGCUGGACAGCCUGGCGGCUGAUGAGGACAAGCUGGCAUCUGGCCACCAGGAGACUCUUUCUGAGAAGAACAAAAUUCCUGCCACCAGGAAUCCCCUAAUGUAACCAGUGGAUAUCGUGGGAGACACGACAGCCCCGGAUAAUAAACUGGUGUGUCCGGCUGACCCUCUACAACCACGGAGAGGAGUGGAGCACGCAGAGGGAGGCAAUUAGCAGGCUGGACCAU